rnacentral:lncRNA from 1 species
UCACCCCCAGAGUUCGUGUCACCCCGAGCCACGUGUCACCCCCCCCAGGGUCACUUGUGUCACCCCAAGGGUUUGUGUCACCCCCUCGGUGUCACUCGUGUCACCCAGAGCCACGUGUCACCCCCCCGGGGCCACUUGUGUCACCCUCACGCUGGCUCCUGUCACCAGCGGGGGUGGCUCGUGUCCCUUUUGUCACCCCGAGGACUCGUGUCACCUGAAAGAUCGUGUCACCACAAGGCUUUUGUCACCCCUAGGACUCGCUCGUGUCACCCAGAAUCUCUUGUCACCCCGAGAGUCUCAUUUGUGUCACCCUGACACUCUCGUCACCCCUGAGACUUUUGUCACCUGAAGGACACGUUCAUGUCACCCCAAGGACUCAUUUCUGUCACCCCGAGACUUUUGUCACCCCGAGGACUCCCUGAUGUCACCCAAAGGACACAUUUGUGUCACCCCCAGAACUCCUCAUGUCACCCCGAGACUCUUGUCACCCCAAGGGACUCACUCAUGUCACCCCAAGGACCCAAUUGUGUCACCCUCAGACUCUUGUCACCCCAAGGGACUCACUCAUGUCACCCCAAGGACCCAAUUGUGUCACCCUCAGACUCUUGUCACCCCAAAGGACUCACUCCUGUCACCCCAAGGACACAACUGUGCCACCCGGAGACUUUUGUCACCCCAAGGACUCCCUGAUGUCACCCCAAGGACACAUCUGUGUCACCCCCAGAACUCCUCAUGUCACCCCGAGACUCUUGUCACCCCAAGGGACUCCCUCGUGUCACCCUGUCUCUCGUGUCACCCCAAGGACGCAGUCGU